AGGAGAAGUCCUGAUGCCCGGUGAGGAGUUGUGAGCGGCUGGCGAUGGUCGGCGUACGACGAGACAGAUAGAGGCCUAAGAGGUAUUUGGGAGAGGUGAUUAGGCAUGACAUGGCUAGAAUGCACGUUUUCGAGGACAUGGCCCUUGAUAGGAAAGUCUGGAGGUCUAGUAUCAGGGUUGUAGGAUAGGGGCUCCUAGAGUUUUUCGUACUCCUCACCCGGGGUUGGGUGAGGCUUGGCUGAGCUAUCCAUAGAUGAUUUAUGUAUUGGAUUGUGUCUCC
rnacentral:lncRNA from 1 species